rnacentral:lncRNA from 1 species
AGACACGUGUGCAACUCUGGGGUGAAAGACACCAGCUUCUUCUGCAGAUUACCUGUAUCAUUUGGGUUUGAAGCAUAUUCUGAUGUGUCUUUGUGAAUACCAGUUUAUUCUCAAGGAUUUUAGGUUGUCUUUUCUUUUCUUUUUUUUUUUUUUCUAUUUCGUUUAGAGCUUUUCUUCCUGAUGGCUUAUCUACCGAUCAAAGCAACUUCUACCUCACCAGCAGAUACAGAGGCAACUUCUUCCAUAGAUUUCUUCACCAGUUUUCCUUAGCUGUCUCCUUGGAACAUUUGAAAUCCUCUGGUUCUUUGGCACCCAAAUAUGAAGGUCAUUUCAUCAAAGGCCUAAAAUUUUCAUAGAGAGGAUUUGAGAAAGGUGAUCUCAAUAAAAUACAAAAAAAAAAAGGAAGAAAAGCUACAGUAAAAGAAAUAUUGCUACUUAUAUAUGCAAACGAAGACUGAGGACAACUAUUAUCAGCUUUCUACUCUUAAGAAUUAUUUAAGUUGCUACUCCUACUUCUACAUUUGGACAUUGGUUUACCAUGCCAUUUUUCCUUAUAUAUAUUUAAAAAAUCUCUUAAAAAUUAAAAUGGUAGUAUGCAUGUUUUCAGGCCAAAUAUAUAUUUCCAAACUGUUCUAAAUUUGUUACUACUGUGUUUUUACUCCUGAGUAAU